rnacentral:rRNA from 1 species
UACGAAGGGGGCUAGCGUUGCUCGGAAUUACUGGGCGUAAAGGGAGCGUAGGUGGGUUAUCAAGUUGGAGGUGAAAGCCCAGGGCUCAACCUUGGAAUUGCCUUCAAAACUGAUAGCCUAGAGUAUGAUAGAGGUAAGUGGAACUCCGAGUGUAGAGGUGAAAUUCGUAGAUAUUCGGAAGAACACCAGUGGCGAAGGCGACUUACUGGAUCAUGACUGACGCUGAGGCUCGAAAGCGUGGGGAGCAAACAGG